UAACUUUGUGCCAUGAACAUGCUUGACUGU
rnacentral:piRNA from 1 species